rnacentral:rRNA from 1 species
AUUGAACGCUGGCGGCAGGCCUAACACAUGCAAGUCGAACGAGCGGCGGACGGGUGAGUAAUGUCUGGGAAACUGCCUGAUGGAGGGGGAUAACUACUGGAAACGGUAGCUAAUACCGCAUACCAUCGGAUGUGCCCAGAUGGGAUUAGCUAGUAGGUGGGGUAAAGGCUCACCUAGGCGACGAUCCCUAGCUGGUCUGAGAGGAUGACCAGCCACACUGGAACUGAGACACGGUCCAGACGCCGACGGGAGGCAGCAGUGGGGAAUAUUGCACAAUGGGCGCAAGCCUGAUGCAGCCAUGCCGCGUGUAUGAAGAAGGCCUUCGGGUUGUAAAGUACUUUCAGCGAGGAGGCGUUACUCGCAGAAGAAGCACCGGCUAACUCCGUGCCAGUAGCCGCGGUAAUUC